rnacentral:rRNA from 1 species
CAAAGGUUUGGUCCUAGCCUUACAAUCAACUGUUACCCAACUUACACAUGCAAGCAUCUACACCCCCGUGAAAACACCCCCCAACCCCAACGGAAGGGGGAGUCGGUAUCAGGCACAGAACUCUCGCCCACCACACCUAGCUACGCCACACCCACAAGGGUUACAGCAGUGAUAAACUUUGGUCAUAAGCGCCAGCUUGAACCAGCAAGGGUAAAAAGAGCCGGCUAAUAUGGUGCCAGCCGCCGCGGCUACACCAUAGACUCAAGUUGACCUUCACGGCGUUAAGCGUGGUUAAAACUCCUUUAAUUAGAACCUUACCAUAACCAAGUUGUAAUACACUUGUUUCUGCGACACCCAAAAACGAAAGUUGUUCUAACUUUUUGAUCCCACGACAGUCGGGAAACAAACUGGGAUUAGAUACCCCACUAUGCCCGACCGUAAACCUUUAACUCACAAACCCAGCCGCCAGAGAAUUACGAGCCUAAGCUUAAAACUCAAAGGACUUGACGGUGUCCCACCCAUCUAGAGGAGCCUGUUCUAUAAUCGAACUCCCAGGU